GAACUGCGAUAAGUAAUGUGAAUUGCAGAAUUCAGUGAAUCAUCGAGUCUUUGAACGCACAUUGCGCCCCCUGGCAUUCCGGGGGGCAUGCCUGUCCGAGCGUCAUUGCUGCCCUUCAAGCCCGGCUUGUGUGUUGGGUCGUCGUCCCCUCCGGGGGACGGGCCCGAAAGGCAGCGGCGGCACCGCGUCCGGUCCUCGAGCGUAUGGGGCUUUGUCACCCGCUCGAUAAGGACCGGCCGGGCGCCAGCCGGCGUCUCCGACCUUUUUUUCUCAGGUUGACCUCGGAUCAGGUAGGGAUACCCGCUGAACUUAAGC
rnacentral:misc_RNA from 1 species